rnacentral:rRNA from 1 species
UACGAAGGGGGCUAGCGUUGCUCGGAAUUACUGGGCGUAAAGCGCACGUAGGCGGCUCUUUAAGUCGGGGGUGAAAUCCUGGAGCUCAACUCCAGAACUGCCUUCGAUACUGAAGAGCUCGAGUCCGGGAGAGGUGAGUGGAACUGCGAGUGUAGAGGUGAAAUUCGUAGAUAUUCGCAAGAACACCAGUGGCGAAGGCGACUCACUGGCCCGGUACUGACGCUGAGGUGCGAAAGCGUGGGGAGCAAACAGG